rnacentral:rRNA from 1 species
AGUGAACGCUGGCGGCGUGCUUAACACAUGCAAGUCGAACGAGAACGGGUUAUAGCUUGCUAUAAUUGUCAGCUAAGUGGCGCACGGGUGAGUAAUGUAUAGGUAAUAUGCCUCUUACUAAGGGAUAACAAAUGGAAACGUUUGCUAAUACCUUAUACUCCUUAUUAACAGAAGUUAAUAAGGGAAAGAUUUAUUGGUAAGAGAUUAGCCUGUAUUGUAUCAGUUAGUUGGUGGGGUAAUGGCUUACCAAGACUAUGACACAUAACUGGUUUGAGAGGAUGAUCAGUCACACUGGAACUGAGACACGGUCCAGACUCCUACGGGAGGCAGCAGUGGGGAAUAUUGCACAAUGGACGAAAGUCUGAUGCAGCAACGCCGUGGAGGAUGACACAUUCCGGUGCGUAAACUCCUUUUAUAUGAGAAGAUAAUGACGGUAUUAUAUGAAUAAGCACCGGCUAACUCCGUGCCAGCAGCCGCAGUAAUAC